rnacentral:tRNA from 1 species
AUUUAUAUAGUAUAUAUAAGUACAAUUAAUUUCCAAUUAAUUAGAUUAAAUUAAUUAAUAUAAAUA